GCCCCCUUCGUCUAGCGGCCUAGGACAUUGCCCUUUCAAGGCAGAGAUCACGGGUUCGAAUCCCGUAGGGGGCGCCA
rnacentral:tRNA from 1 species